AGACAGCCGGCCCAAUCAGAGCAGAGGGCCCUGCAGCAGCUUACUCCUUUCAUCUUAGCUUCAAAGAAAGACAGACAGAAAGAAAAAACUUCAAUCACUUUUUUUCAAAACCCCCACCGUGCUGAAGCUGAGGGUACUUCAAGAUUAAGAAUGGUCUCUGAACACAGCAACAACACAUGGCAAGGAAGACUGUAGCAGAAACUGAACCAUGUGUAUUGAAUGGAUGCACAGGCUUGAAAAGCAGCGGAGGAAGAGAAGCAUGUUGUUUUCUGAAAUGAAAUGCAUCUUCUCCUGUUUAUAGGCCUGUAUUUUUCACAAAAAUAUAUAUACUGAUUAGAAUGCAGUUAUACCCAUCAUGCAUCAGUAAGAUAAGUGACAUUGUCAUACAAUAGCUGUGCAUCCAACUGUGAUUCUAAUCUAAAAAUAUUGAAAUUUCAUGUAACAUUAGCCAUUGUUUCAGCACACAGUUUUUGAACUGUAUUCCACAAUCUGAAUAAUAGUUGGG